rnacentral:rRNA from 1 species
CGGCGGACGGGUGAGUAACGCGUGGGUAACCUGCCUCAUACAGGGGGAUAGCAGCUGGAAACGGCUGGUAAUACCGCAUAAGCGCACAGUACCACAUGGUACAGUGUGAAAAACUCCGGUGGUAUGAGAUGGACCCGCGUCUGAUUAGCUGGUUGGCGGGGUAACGGCCCACCAAGGCGACGAUCAGUAGCCGACCUGAGAGGGUGAACGGCCACAUUGGGACUGAGACACGGCCCAA